CGACUCGAGGUUGCCAGAUGAGCUGCAGGAUUCAGCAGAAACGUAGGCUGCUUCAAUGAGCUUCCAAUAGCAAGUGACGAACAGACGUACACAGUAAGUUUUUUUUCUGUUAAUUAUGUUUAUGCUUCAUGAGAGAUAUUUUGAUAAGUAAUUAUGUAUUUAAAAAAUGUACUAAUUGUCAUUAGUUAAAUAUAAUCGUAAAGAUUUAUGCUCGUAUGUGACAGUAUAAUCGUAAAGAUGUAUGCUCGUAUGUGACAGUAUAAUCAGACGUCCAUGUGAGCUAACGUUAUGUUACUUUGCACAAACAUGCAUAACUUUGUUCGACUGUCAUGAAUAUAUGAAAUGUCCAUUGACAUCAAGUACAAGUUAGCCAAGCAUAGAUGAAUCUUACCUGUCCAGGAGAAAAUUAGCAACGUUGGCGUCUGUGUUCAAAUUCUUCUCCGUUUUCAGCCGUCUCCAUCUUUCAAAAGCAUCUCCAAUCUUAAUAUAUUUUACUGGAUAGUUAUACUAUAUGUGGUCUGCAAAUGUGGUUGUUGGCUAAAGUUAAUUUUGGACCCUGUUUAAAUGUAAUCAUUAGUAUUUUUUCAGGGCAAUCAUUUAAAUUGCUUCUUAUUCACAUUAGCAGGUCAUAACAGCAUCAGAGGAGAGGAUACAGAUCAUUUUCACUCAUACAACCCAUUAACGCCAAGCCAGUUCAGCCGAGGUUCAACUACAGCGAGCGUCUGGCAGCUACAGGGUGAAGGAUUCAUUCAAAACCCAGAUCUCAUGCCAGGCCGAGCUGUUCCACGAGGGUCUGCCCAUGUUCCCUCGGCUCCUCUGCCCACUCCUGAAGUGCUGGGAGGCAGAAGCACUGCGUGUGGAUUCAGCUCUAGACCGCAGAGUCAAACUCACUGGAGCUCACCUGAGAAUGAUUUGCCCAACAAGACAGGAGAGGAGAGGAAGAGGCGAGGAGGAGAAGAUGUGCACAGUGUGCUUCCGCACAGCAAGAGAGGAAGACUGCUAUGUGAACGAGUUCCAGGCCGAAAUGAUGGACAGACCAGACUGCGAUUUUUCUGAGGAAGUUUUGCUACUUUAUGGAGAAACAUCUGAGCAGCAGAAGUCUCCGUUUAAUUGCAUCGCUCUCUGGGAGAAACAACAGUGCUGUUUCUUUCCAGUGGGAAACCGCAGCUCAGCUGAUGCUCCAACGUUCAUAGAGCUUCAAGACAACGUAAAGUGAAGUACCACAGUAUCAUGACAAGAAGUGUUCACCAACACACGUGAGCGCUGGCGCCAACAUAAUGUCAACACAGCCUUCGCAGAGCUGCGGAAACUCAUCCCCACACACCCGCCCGAGAAAAAACUCAGCAAGAAUGAGAUCCUGCGGCUGGCCAUGCGCUACAUCAACUUCUUGGUGACUCUGCUGGAGAGCCAGGGAGGAGAGCCGUCGGCUCACUCGCAAGCCGCGCUCCUCUCACUGAUCACGGGGAACAUGCAGAAGCUGCGCACCGACCGCACCUGGACCAGCGACACCGACCCGCCCUCACCCGGGUCCAGCUGUGACAGUUCAGAAGCCUGGUAGAACGAAACUGAAGCAUGAGCGUUCUAUGAAAGGAUUGUGAUUGUGAUGUUUUUGAAAGUUCCGUUGCCAUGGAGAGACAAAGCUGGAUUUUUGGAACUCGGAAUGUUCGCUAUGACAUCACAAUCACUCAUUUCUUCCGGGUUUUUUGGAAACGAAUGAUCUUUGGAAACCCAAAAACACUUUAUUCAGCAGUACUGCUGUAAUUGAGCAGGAACCCUGAACAAAAUAUGCAUGGUCAAGGAUGCACUUGGGAAGCAUCUCCCUGAUAAUUUUAGUAUUAAUGUCAUUUCAUUUCCUUGAAUGAAUUAACACUCAAGGAUGUUUUGUUUGAGAUUAAAGGCAGCCUCAGAACUGAAACUAAUUUAUUUGAUUGUAUAAAAUUUUUUAUUUAUUAUUUAUGCUUUCAGUGGAUGCAGCACAUGUGACUAGUUGUACAUUAAAUUGUAAUUUAUUAAAUGGAAAAAUGUUAUUGUUUAAACUACUUUGGAUUCACAAAUACAAAAUAUGUUUUCCCAAAGUGUUUUGGUGUUUUUGCACAAUUUGUUUUUGUGUAUUCAUUAUUCAAAAGUGUAAACUGUUUUUUUCUCAACAGUCAAAUUGAUUGGAAAUUAUUUAUUGGAUUAAUUUAUUAGUCUGUUUGAUAUUAAAAUGCCUAAAAAACUCAAUCUGCAUAUUCACUAAACUCUUUGUUUGGUUGGUUAAAGUGGCUUUUGUUGUAACUGGUUUGUAUGAACCAGUGUGCAUGUAAUGGUCAGCUCUGAAGACUCUGAUUGGCUUUUAUGUUGUGGUCAGAUAAUUGUUCACUGCAGAGGCUGUUUAAGUGACCAUAGUGAUGACCUCUGGAAGUGUCCAAGCCACCCGAGGGAUUGGAUUGUAGACUCAGCUUAACUUUUGGUCUGAGGCCAGAGGUCAUCUUGGAGUCAAAAGCCACACUUGUCAGUGACCAAUCAGAUGCACAAAAGUGGGAGUGUGUGCGAUUGUGCUACAUUCAAACAUCAGUGCACAAAAUGUAUCUAAUUAAUUUAAUAGUCUAGUUUUUUUAGUUUAAUUAACAUUUACACACACACACACACACACACACACACAUAUAUAUAUUAAUCAUUUGACAGCACUAAUAUAUAAUAUAUAUAUAUAUAUUAUGAGGUGAUUUUAGAUAAAUGCAUGUAAACACUGCAAAUAAGCAUAUCCAUCAUUUCUGUUCAGAUUACUCUAGUCUUCAGACCACAUUUAACCUAAAGUAGUAAAAAAAAAACAAAGUAAUAGCUGUGUUAGUGUCAUCAUCACAGAGGAA
rnacentral:lncRNA from 1 species